rnacentral:rRNA from 1 species
AUUGAACGCUGGCGGCAGGCUUAACACAUGCAAGUCGAGCGGGGUGAUGGUGCUUGCACUAUCACUUAGCGGCGGACGGGUGAGUAAUGCUUAGGAAUCUGCCUAUUAGUGGGGGACGACAUCACGACAGGGAUGCUAAUACCACAUACGUCCUACGGGAGAAAGCCGGGGAUCACUUGUGACCUUGGGCUAAUAGCGGAGCCUAAGUCGGAUUAGCUAGUUGGUUGGGUAAAGGCCUACCAAGGCGACGAUCUGUAGCGGGUCUGAGAGGAUGAUCCGCCACACUGGGACUGAGACACGGCCCAGACUCCUACGGGAGGCAGCAGUGGGGAAUAUUGGACAAUGGGGGGAACCCUGGUCCAGCCAUGCCGCGUGUGUGAAGAAGGCCUUAUGGUUGUAAAGCACUUUAAGCGAGGAGGAGGCUCUUUUGGUUAAUACCCAAGACGAGUGGACGUUACUCGCAGAAUAAGCACCGGCUAACUCUGUGCCAGCCGCCGCCGUAA